ensembl:lncRNA
UCUGACAGAUGCUACACUGUAAAAAAUUACUGAUGCAAAAAGUUGUACAAAUGAGGGAAUACAUGUUGGCUCAACAUAAUGGUUGUGUCAAAAAAGAAAAAUAUGUUUGGUCAAUGAUUGCAUGAUUUCCAUGACUGUACUACAAAAUGUUCAUCAAGAGAAAAUAAAUAAUUGUGUUGACAGAACUUUUAACGUUGCACAAAAAAUAUUAUGUUGGCCGAGCAAGAAGGAAGAGCUUCAAUCGUCUGAGCAUGCGCAAAGGAGUUCUACCAGGCGCCUCCUGGAAUUUCCCCCACCACGAGUCACGACAUUGCAGUGGUGAGUGCUUUGUGCUGCGAGACCACAGAUCUAACUUAUAGAAGGUCUGCUGUUCUUCGUGGUCUUCCCCUGUACUUGAGAGAGAGCCAGCUUCAAUUUCAAAGACCAUUAAGGAUACUGAGGCACUGGGGCCACACACAAAGGCCAUGAAAAUGGGGAUCCUGGAAGUGACUGACAGUUCUACCAACUCAGGACCAUAUCCCACAGUGGUCAAUGUGGCUGUAGUACUGGAGGAGGAAGUUGUCAUGGACAAUCUGGGAGACUUCACAAAAGAGUGCACAGCAAGGAUACAGUCCUUGAAAAACAAGUUAUUACAGGUGUAAUGGUCAUUACAUGUCAGUCAUUGAGGUAUUUUGAGGUAUCAAAGGUUUCAUGCAAAAGUUUCUGUUAAUGCCAGUGACUUUUUUUUGUUGAAUUUUUGUAACUGCUCAGGAACUUGUUGAUUACUUUUUUCAAAUGUUUACAGGCAAAGCUGUUGUCAUGUUUUACUGAGUUUCAUUUUGUAAAGCAGAUAUUUGUUUUUCCAGUACAACUAUUGACUAAGAGUGAUAUGUCAUGCUUUCUUGAACUCUCAGAUCUUGUUUCGGCACUGGCUGAAUACUUGUGUAAUAUUUUACUUGAGCCUAACAGGCAAGUUCAUAUGUAUUUAAAUAAAUACAUAAAAUGUUCUUUA